GGGGAUGUAGCUCAGUGGUAGAGCACUUGACUGGCGUACAUUAGGUACUGGGUUCCAUUCCAAGUACUACCU
rnacentral:tRNA from 1 species